AAGGAACUACAUCAAAAUUGUUUGCAAAACUGAGUUUGUAUAUAUUUAACUACAAGACUUUAAAUUACAAAUAUGUAAGAGGCCCCUAUCUAAAUACACCCUUCCCCUUCACCCUUGGUCGAAGUUCCCAUUUGAGUUCUUCAGGUAUAGCAGGACCGUGAUACUGGUCUUUUCUGUACUUUGUUCUCCUUUGAUUAUCCUCCUCACCAUCCUCCUCAUAUUUCUCUUUGCUUUCACCAUCCUCAACUUUUUCUUCGCUUUCACUAUCUUCCUCACCAUCCUCCUCACCUUCCUCUUCACUUUCACUCUCAUAUUUUGCAUCUGGUGUGUUCUUACUAACAAAUCAUCAGCCACGACUACAUUACGCCUCGAUUCCUCUUCGUUUUCAAGUGGGGCUUUUAACAUCCCUAUACAUGUGUGUUGUUGUAAUUACAACAAUAUUUAUAUAAUUAGAACAAUGCUUGCAACUUUUGUAUAAGAUUUUUAAAAAAGAAUUGUCAAAAGAAAACAAAAUGGAAGUUCGAGAUAUGAAGAUUUUACUUUGACAUUUACAGUAAAAGGUCCAAAUACUACUUAAGGAGUAAGCUAAUUUCCACUCUUAUUCCAUUAUUGGAUAUUUUAGAACAAAACAAUUACAAAUAGAAGGAAAAAGCAAAAACUCUAUAGGAGGCACGCCAUUUAAAUUCCUUAUUUGCUCUUUUUUGUGAUUUCAUCAUUAUAUUCAGAAUAAUAGCCCCUUAAAAUACCAUGACAGACUUGGUGCUAGCUUGGAAGACAAAAAUAAGUUGUCGCAUCAAAUUUCCUUACUAGCAAUUGGGGCAAAAUAAUUCUUCACGAUUUUGUUCCCAUUGCCAAUAAGCAGUGCUAUCGAAACAAGUUCCCAUUGCCAAUAAGCAGUGCUAUCCAAACCCAUAUACAAAACUCCCAUGUUGAUGUUCUAUACACACGAUUCAAACAAGACAUUAAAGUGUCAAAUAAAGUGAUAAGGACACUGAAAUACUUUUAGAAAAAUUCAUUCUUAAUUUCUCUUUUGUUGUUCUAAGCAAUCACAAAAUGAAUUUAUUGCAAUCAAAAGUAAAGUUAUUAUUAUUGUAGGUGAAGCUCAAGUUUCUUAGACGCAUCUGCACUCCAGUUUGCAAAAUCAAUUAAGGAGGUUUAUAGAUGCCUUCACACAUUGCUCCUUAGAUACAUGGUAUAAGACCUUAAUAUUCCUAAAUAUAUAUAGUGCAUGAUAAUAAUGUUUCUUAUUAAUUGCUCUAGAAAUAGAAAAGUUGAUUUUAGUAUGUAAUUCUAUUGUUUGCUAAAUAUUAGUUCUCUUCGAAUUAAAGAAAGAUUAGAUAGUAUCUGGCCUUUAGACAUAUAAAUUAUAUAAUUAGAAAGAUUCGUAAAAAACUUUCCCAAUAAAUAUUAGAUUGCAAUGAGCCGAACAACAUGCCACGAGUUAAUUGUAGUAUGACAAGAACAAUCGACUUUAAAUGCUAGUACUUGAUCAAAAUCAGACUACGUUUGACCUUUAGACACAAAUUAUGUGUGUACUAGAACUCAUAUAAAAACUUCUUAAUAAAACCUAUUGCCUAAAAUAAAACAUAUUAGAGAUGGGAAUGUUGUUAUAUUACAGAGUGUAUAUAUAUAUAGGUUCUAAAGAACAAAUAUUAAAUAUUAAUUUGUUGGAGUGUAUUGUGCAUAUGAAUUGUUUGUGUUCAUAAUGAUUUGGUCCUAAAUUUAUGUAGAAACGGGAAAGGGAGAGCAAGAUAUUUGCAUCUAAACACAGUAAAAAUCAGCAUAAAUGAGAAGAAAGGGAGAUCAAAGUCUUUGUAUCCAAAAACAAUAAGAAUUAGAAGAAGUUUACCAAUUAGAAAUGUCCCAAAAGGGAAGCCUCUACUUAUCACAAAGCAUCUGACAUGUUAAUCAAAGAUUUCUAAGAGAACCUUAGAGAUCCCCAUUUAAUGAAUUCGAGUUGCUAUAUUUCUCCCUCUAGAACCAGAUCACUAAAUCCCUGUGGUUACUCAACCAGAAUCGACCCAGUAAAAACUUUAGAUCCAAACUAGGAUCAACGUUCAUGAUCGCCCGCCAUAGUUUAAAAAAAUGGUUCAAAUUGAGAGGCGCAAGAAGAGUUGCUGUCCAAAAAAAACCUUGACUUUACAGAGAAAUUAGGGAUUCGAAGUCCCGUGCUUUCCCUUUCUCUCGGCUUCCCCUUUUUUCAGCUCUAUCUUUGCUUCCCCUUUUUGGUCCCACGAGUUUUCUCUCUCUAACUUGAAAAAUGGGGAUCUCUCUGGUACGAGUUAUUUAGAUAAGGUUACUGGUUGAACCCGUGCUUUUUUUUUUAUAACAACUCAAAAUGAAUUAAGCCCAACCCUACAUUUUAAAUCGACGGUUAAAAAUAGGGAGAAGAUAAAAC
rnacentral:lncRNA from 1 species